GGAAAUACACAAGAAAUAGGAAAUAUAUUAUUGAAACGCACCAUUGCCACGUAAUGCUCAUAUAAUCAUACGAGUGGUUAUAAUAUAAUAUGUACUAUUUGCUGUAACAUUCUAAUUUUAGAGAAUACUACGAUUUGUGAAUCACUAUGCUGUGUCGCGUUUC